AUUGAACGCUGGCGGCAGGCCUAACACAUGCAAGUCGAACGGUAACAGGAAGAAGCUUGCUUCUUUGCUGACGAGUGGCGGACGGGUGAGUAAUGUCUGGGAAACUGCCUGAUGGAGGGGGAUAACUACUGGAAACGGUAGCUAAUACCGCAUAAUGUCGCAAGACCAAAGAGGGGGACCUUCGGGCCUCUUGCCAUCGGAUGUGCCCAGAUGGGAUUAGCUAGUAGGUGGGGUAACGGCUCACCUAGGCGACGAUCCCUAGCUGGUCUGAGAGGAUGACCAGCCACACUGGAACUGAGACACGGUCCAGACUCCUACGGGAGGCAGCAGUGGGGAAUAUUGCACAAUGGGCGCAAGCCUGAUGCAGCUAUGCCGCGUGUAUGAAGAAGGCCUUCGGGUUGUAAAGUACUUUCAGCGGGGAGGAAGGGAGUAAAGUUAAUACCUUUGCUCAAUGACGUUACCCGCAGAAGAAGCACCGGCUAACUCCGUG
rnacentral:rRNA from 1 species